rnacentral:rRNA from 1 species
UGGGGAAUAUUGGACAAUGGGCGAAAGCCUGAUCCAGCAAUGCCGCGUGUGUGAAGAAGGCCUUCGGGUUGUAAAGCACUUUUAUCAGGAACGAAAUCGGCAGGGUUAAUAACCGUGUCGUCUGACGGUACCUGAGGAAUAAGCACCGGCUAACUUCGUGCCAGCAGCCGCGGUAAUACGAAGGGUGCAAGCGUUAAUCGGAAUUACUGGGCGUAAAGGGUGCGUAGGCGGUUAGUUAAGUCUGUUGUGAAAUCCCCGGGCUCAACCUGGGAAUGGCAAUGGAUACUGGCUGGCUAGAGUGUGUCAGAGGAUGGUGGAAUUCCCGGUGUAGCGGUGAAAUGCGUAGAGAUCGGGAGGAACAUCAGUGGCGAAGGCGGCCAUCUGGGACAACACUGACGCUGAAGCACGAAAGCGUGGGGAGCAAACA